UACGUAGGGUGCAGGCGUUAAUCGGAAUUACUGGGCGUAAAGCGUGCGUAGGUGGUUCGUUAAGUCUGAUGUGAAAGCCCUGGGCUCAACCUGGGAAUGGCAUUGGAAACUGGCGACCUAGAGUGCGGUAGAGGGUAGUGGAAUUCCCGGUGUAGCAGUGAAAUGCGUAGAGAUCGGGAGGAACAUCCGUGGCGAAGGCGACUACCUGGACCAGCACUGACACUGAGGCACGAAAGCGUGGGGAGCAAACAGG
rnacentral:rRNA from 1 species